rnacentral:rRNA from 2 species
GAAGGGAGCUUGCUCUCUGAUUCACGCGGCGGACGGGUGAGUAAUGCCUAGGAAUCUGCCUGGUAGUGGGGGACAACGUUUCGAAAGGAACGCUAAUACCGCAUACGUCCUACGGGAGAAAGUGGGGGAUCUUCGGACCUCACGCUAUCAGAUGAGCCUAGGUCGGAUUAGCUAGUAGGUGAGGUAACGGCUCACCUAGGCGACGAUCCGUAACUGGUCUGAGAGGAUGAUCAGUCACACUGGAACUGAGACACGGUCCAGACUCCUACGGGAGGCAGCAGUGGGGAAUAUUGGACAAUGGGCGAAAGCCUGAUCCAGCCAUGCCGCGUGUGUGAAGAAGGUCUUCGGAUUGUAAAGCACUUUAAGUUGGGAGGAAGGGCAGUAAGUUAAUACCUUGCUGUUUUGACGUUACCAACAGAAUAAGCACCGGCUAACUUCGUGCCAGCAGCCGCGGUAAUACGAAGGGUGCAAGCGUUAAUCGGAAUUACUGGGCGUAAAGCGCGCGUAGGUGGUUUGGUAAGAUGGAUGUGAAAUCCCCGGGCUCAACCUGGGAACUGCAUCCAUAACUGCCUGACUAGAGUACGGUAGAGGGUGGUGGAAUUUCCUGUGUAGCGGUGAAAUGCGUAGAUAUAGGAAGGAACACCAGUGGCGAAGGCGACCACCUGGACUGAUACUGACACUGAGGUGCGAAAGCGUGGGGAGCAAACAGGAUUAGAUACCCUGGUAGUCCACGCCGUAAACGAUGUCGACUAGCCGUUGGAAUCCUUGAGAUUUUAGUGGCGCAGCUAACGCGAUAAGUCGACCGCCUGGGGGAGUACGGCCCGCAAGGUUAAAACUCAAAUGAAAUUGACGGGGGGCCCGCACAAGCGGUGGAACCAGGUGGGUUUAAUUCGAAGCAACGCGAAAGAACCUUACCUGGCC